rnacentral:rRNA from 1 species
UAUAUUGACUGUACAAAGGUAGCAUAAUCAUUAGUCAUUUAAUUGAUGACUUGUAUGAAGGAUUGGAUGAGAUAUAAUCUGUCUCUUAGUUAAUAGGUAGAAUUUAAUUUUUUAAUUAAAAAGUUAAAAUAAUUUAAAAAGACGAGAAGACCCUAUAGAGUUUUAUAGAUAAAUUAAUUAAGAUUAUUUAAAAAAUUUAAAAUUAAAAUUAAAUUAUUUAUUUUAUUGGGGUGAUAGAAAAAUAUAUUUAACUUUUUUUUUUAAUUUAACAUUUAUAGGUGGUUAGAUGAUCCAAUAUUAUUGAUUAUAAGAAAUAAUUACCUUAGGGAUAACAGCGUAAUUUUUUUUUUUAGUUCAUAUAAGAAAAAGAGUUUGCGACCUCGAUG